rnacentral:tRNA from 1 species
GCGGGUAUGGUGAAAUGGUAUCAUGAAAGCCUUCCAAGCUUAAGGUGCGGGUUCGAUUCCCGCUACCCGCUCCA